UAUCUCUUCUGUCUUUGUUUUCCAGUCUUGGUAAUAAAGUUUAUCUCUUGAGAUCCAAUGCUUCGUGUAAGCCAUUGAAUCAAAAAUAGUACAUUUAUUUCCAGGGUGGAAUUUUUCUUUGUAAUUUGUUAUUGCGUUUCUUUUUGUUUUUUAUUUUUUACUUAAGACUUGUAUGUGCAUAUUCUUAGGUGAACUUGACGUAUUCUUAUCCUCUGAUUGUAUAUUCAAAU
rnacentral:lncRNA from 1 species